GCAGUGGUGGUUCAGUGGUAGAUUUCUUGCCUUCCACGCAGGAGACCUGGGUUCAAUUCUCGGCCAGUGCA